rnacentral:rRNA from 1 species
AUACAUAGCAACAGGAGGCAAACCGGGGGAACUGAAACAUCUAAGUACCCCGAGGAAGAGAAAUCAACCGAGAUUCCGAAAGUAGCGGCGAGCGAAAUUGGAUUAGCCCUUAAGCUUUUAAUGAUGCAGGUGAAGAGUCUGGAAAGUCUCGCANUAAAGGGUGAUAGCCCCGUAACCGACACAUCAUAAUCAGUGAAAACGAGUAGGGCGGGACACGUGAUAUCCUGUCUGAAUAUGGGGGGACCAUCCUCCAAGGCUAAAUACUACUGACUGACCGAUAGUGAACCAGUACCGUGAGGGAAAGGCGAAAAGAACCCCUGUGAGGGGAGUGAAAUAGAACCUGAAACCGUGUACGUACAAGCAGUAGGAGCACCUUCGUGGUGUGACUGCGUACCUUUUGUAUAAUGGGUCAGC